UCGCUUGGCGUCCAUUUCGCCUUCCGUUACUCUUCUUAGCCUCAAAGCCUACUCCCUCCCCGCUUCUACACGUCUCUGAGGCCGCCGAUCAGUAGGGUUUCUCCGCCGCAUCUCCCGAUCCGUCGCCGCUGCAUGAUCUACGUCAGGAUAUGACGAGUAUUAUCUCAGGCAACCCUCGAAAUUUACCAAUUCAAGUUUUCAAUAGUUUCACAAAGACCAGAGUCACCAGACUAAGUAUAAUACAAUGUUGGGAUGUUAAGGCACAGAGUUUCUUUCUGCUGGAACUUCAUAUUCCAUAAAUCAACAGCUCAGUAGUAAUCAUCAAAAAGGACAAAUUUCUAGGCUGGUUUUUGUAAGAGAAGUUAAUAAUGGUGAAGCUGAAUCAAACAGCGCAAAAGAUGAUGACAAGGACAAAGAAAGUGAAAAGUAUUUGAUGGGUUAUCCCGUGAGGCUUUGGAGCAAAUAGUCGUAGCAGGCGAUUCAAAUUUUAGUGGAAUGGAUCUAGCAACUCUGAUCAGAAAAAAAGUACUAUAGAUUGUAGAAUAUCCAACUGAAAAAAGAGGUUCCAGAUCCAGAUCAGGAGGUAUGUGAUUCAUGAAUUGCAGUAAGAGCUUUACAAAUGAUCUAGAGAAAAAAAAUUCUAACAAAGAGAGGAAAACCUCUCUUCAGCAGAGCUUUGGCAUUCCACCCCGGCU